rnacentral:rRNA from 1 species
GUCUAUGGCCAUACUACCCUGAACGCACUGGAUCUCAUCUGAUCUUGGAAGCUAAGCAGGGUUGGACCUGCUUAGUACUUGAUGGGAAACCACCUGGUAAUACGGCGCUCUGGGCU